UACGUAGGGUGCAAGCGUUAAUCGGAAUUACUGGGCGUAAAGCGUGCGCAGGCGGUUAUGUAAGACAGAUGUGAAAUGCCCGGGCUUAACCUGGGAACUGCAUUUGUGACUGCAUGGCUAGAGUGUGUCAGAGGGGGGGUAGAAUUCCACGUGUAGCAGUGAAAUGCGUAGAUAUGUGGAGGAAUACCGAUGGCGAAGGCAGCCCCCCUGGGAUAACACUGACGCUCAUGCACGAAAGCGUGGGGAGCAAACAGG
rnacentral:rRNA from 1 species